CGCUGGCGGCAGGCCUAACACAUGCAAGUCGAGCGGUAACAUUUCUAGCUUGCUAGAAGAUGACGAGCGGCGGACGGGUGAGUAAUGCUUGGGAACAUGCCUUGAGGUGGGGGACAACCAUUGGAAACGAUGGCUAAUACCGCAUAAUGUCUACGGACCAAAGGGGGCUUCGGCUCUCGCCUUUAGAUUGGCCCAAGUGGGAUUAGCUAGUUGGUGAGGUAAAGGCUCACCAAGGCGACGAUCCCUAGCUGGUUUGAGAGGAUGAUCAGCACACUGGAACUGAGACACGGUCCAGACUCCUACGGGAGGCAGCAGUGGGGAAUAUUGCACAAUGGGCGCAAGCCUGAUGCAGCCAUGCCGCGUGUGUGAAGAAGGCCUUCGGGUUGUAAAGCACUUUCGUCAGGAGGAAAGGUUAGUAGUUAAUACCUGCUACUGUGACGU
rnacentral:rRNA from 2 species